rnacentral:rRNA from 1 species
AUUGAACGCUGGCGGCAUGCCUUACACAUGCAAGUCGAACGGCAGCACGGACUUCGGUCUGGUGGCGAGUGGCGAACGGGUGAGUAAUAUAUCGGAACAUACCUUGUAGUGGGGGAUAACUAUCCGAAAGGAUAGCUAAUACCGCAUACGCUCUAAGGAGGAAAGCGGGGGAUCGUAAGACCUCGUGCUAUAAGAGUGGCCGAUAUCUGAUUAGCUAGUUGGUGAGGUAAAGGCUCACCAAGGCGACGAUCAGUAGCUGGUCUGAGAGGACGACCAGCCACACUGGAACUGAGACACGGUCCAGACUCCUACGGGAGGCAGCAGUGGGGAAUUUUGGACAAUGGGGGCAACCCUGAUCCAGCAAUGCCGCGUGAGUGAAGAAGGCCUUCGGGUUGUAAAGCUCUUUUGUCAGGGAAGAAACGGUUGUGGCUAAUAUCCAUGGCUAAUGACGGUACCUGAAGAAUAAGCACCGGCUAACUACGUGCCAGCAGCCGCGGUAA